GCUUAGAGAGGGGUCAAUGUCCUAUCAGCUAGUUGGUAAGGUAAUGGCUUACCAAGGCUAAGACGGGUAGCCGGCCUGAGAGGGUGGUCGGCCACACUGGGACUGAGACACUGCCCAGACUCCUACGGGAGGCUGCAGUCGAGAAUCUUUCGCAAUGCCCGAAAGGGUGACGAAGCGACGCCGCGUGUGGGAAGAAGGCCUUCGGGUUGUAAACCACUGUCGGGAGUUAAGAAAUGUAAGGGUGUUAAUAGCAUCCUUACUUGACUAAGGCUCCGGAGGAAGCCACGGCUAACUCUGUGCCAGCAGCCGCGGUAAUACAGAGGCGGCAAGCGUUGUUCGGAAUUAUUGGGCGUAAAGAGCACGUAGGCGGCUUUGUAAGUCAGUUGUGAAAGCCUUCUGCUUAACGGAAGAACAGCAGCUGAUACUGCAAGGCUAGAGUGCGGAAGGG
rnacentral:rRNA from 1 species